AGAUUUGGAGUCUUCUGGUGGUUUCAGGACAGAUCCAAAUGUUAGAGAAGUCCUUUGCGUUCCCCUGAAAGGUGAAGUGAACAAGCACAGCCCGACAGUGCACUACUGGAGAAAGCGCUCACAGAACAGUGGAGGGUGACCCUUAUUUGGCAGCUCCCAUUGCGCGUUCGAUUUGCUGAAUCCUGUUGUAAGGGCUUCAAACAGUGGCCUCUCCAACCACACCCGUUGUGAGACAGGUUUUUGGAAAAUGACCGUGAAGACUGAAGAAAUUACAUUUUUAACAUGAUACUUGGAGUUCAUGACUGCUUACGGCAUUUCCUUGAAAAUUAAAUAUGACUUAGACGUGUCAAAGGUUUAUGAUGUCAUCGGUUUCAACAGAAAGCAAACUCCAGCAGGCUGUAAGCCUGAAGGGAGUUGACCCAGAAACAUGCAUGAUUGUGUUUAAGAACCACUGGGCACAGGUUGUGAAAAUCUUAGAGAAGCAUGACCCCUUGAAGAACAUCCAGGCAAAAUAUGGGUCCAUCCCCCCAGAUGAGGCCAGCGCUGUGCAGAACUA
rnacentral:lncRNA from 1 species